rnacentral:rRNA from 1 species
CGCUGAACUUAAGCAUAUCACUAAGCGGAGGAAAAGAAACUACCCAGGA